UGGGUUCUUCUACAAAAAAAUUUCCAUAUGAAAAAUGAACUUCAGAUAGCAAACAGACUUAGCAAUUCACAAAAAAUUAACAGAAAAAUAUCACAUCAGUAUAUGUUAAUACAGAUAAAAAUUUAAAAUAAUUCAUCAAUUUUUUAUUUUUUUUCAAAAAGUAGAGCCCUCAGAUCUCAUAGCUUCUAGAAUCACAGACGGCUAAUCCGGUGGGGAUCCAUCAGAGGCCUUGAACGCACCACCAUCACAACCAAGCAACCACGUGAAUGUGUGUGCCGUGUAUCUAUCUAUCAAUAGUAAAGAGUAGGAGGUGGAGGCGGUGGUGGUGGAGGUGGAGGUAGCUGAUUAUUCCAGUGAUGCGCGAAGGCCAACGAUGAAUCAAACACCACCAUGCCGCAUCAACGUAUUAAUUUUUCCAUCAUUGGGCAAAUUUUUAGAAAAACAAUCAAAUCCAAAGCGAAUUACAAAUUCAAAUAGACACAGGUGAGUGGCAACGGCGUGCAGUGCAGCCAAACUAGGGUUUUUAGAUCGAGAGGAGGAAGCGGAAAUAGGAUUUUAUAGACUUUUUGAUGGGUUUAAUCACUUAGUUGGGCUGUUGUAGAUAUUGAGAUUCCUUUAUAAUUGGGUCAAGCCCAAUAUUAUUCAUUCCAACAAGUAUUGACUUUUC
rnacentral:lncRNA from 1 species